UACAGAGGGGGCAAGCGUUAUUCGGAAUUAUUGGGCGUAAAGGGCGCGUAGGCGGCUUUGCAAGUGACGGGUGAAAUCCCUCGGCUUAACCGAGGAACUGCCUGUCAGACUGCAUGGCUUGAGACCAGGAGAGGUGAGUGGAAUUCCCAGUGUAGCGGUGAAAUGCGUAGAUAUCGGGAGGAACACCAGUGGCGAAGGCGGUUGCCUGGAGCUUUGCUGACGCUGAUGCGCGAAAGCGUGGGGAGCGAUCCGG
rnacentral:rRNA from 1 species